AUGUGGGCGAUGGCUCCGCGCACGCUGCUCCUGCUGCUGGCGGCCGCCCUGGCCCCGACCCAGACCCGCGCAGGCUCACACUCGAUGCGGUAUUUCAACACCGCCUUGUCCCGGCCCGGCUCCGGGGAGCCCCGGUACAUGGAAGUCGGCUACGUGGACGACACGCAGUUCGUGCGCUUCGACAGCGACGCGGAGAAUUAGAGGAUGGAGCCGCGCGCGCCGUGGGUGGAGCAGGUGGGGCCGGAGUAUUGGGAGCGGGAGACACGAAGAGCCAAGAGCAAUGAGCAGAUGUUCCGAGUGAACCUGAGGACCCUGCUUGGCUACUACAACCAGAGCGAGGGCGGCGCUCACACAGUCCAGGUGAUGUAUGGCUGUGACGUGGGGUCGGACGGGAGCUUUCUCCGCUGGUACAUGCAGCACGCCUAUGACGGCCGCGAUUACAUCGCCCUGAACGAAGACAUGAAAACGUGGACAGUGGUGGACAUGGCGGCGCAGAUCACCCGACACUCGUGGGAGCAAGCUGGUGUUGCAGAGAGUGUCAGGGCCUACCUGGAGGGCGAGUGCGUGGAGUGGCUCCACAGAUACCCGGAGCUCGGGAAGGAGACACUGCUGCGCACAGAUCCCCCAAAGGCUCAUGUGAACCACCACCCCAGAUCUGAAGGUGAUGUCACCCUGAGGUGCUGGGCCCUGGGCUUCUACCCUGCUGACAUCACCCUGACCUGGCAAUUGAAUGAGGAGGACCUGACCCAGGACAUGGAGUUUGUGGAGACCAGGCCUUCAGGGGAUGGAACCUUCCAGAAGUGGGCAUCUGUGGUGGUGCCUCUUGGGAAGGAGCAGAAUUACACAUGCCAUGUGCAACAUGAGGGGCUGCCUGAACCCCUCACCCUGAGAUGGGAGCCUCCUCCAUCCACUGACUCUAACAUGGUGAUCAUUGCUGUUCUGGUUGUCCUUGCUGUGGCCAUCAUUGGAGCUGUGGUAGCUUUUGUGAUGAAGAGGAGGAGAAACACAGCAUGAAGACAGCAGCCUGGAGUGGACUGAGUGACAGACAGUGUGAGAGACAGGUGUCUCCAGUGAUGUCCAGAGCCCAGUUCUCUUUAGACAACACUGUCUGAUGUUCCCUGUGAUCCUGUGGGCUUAAUGUGAAGAACUGUGGAGCCGAACCUGCCC